CGUCAAGUCAUCAUGGCCCUUACGAGUAGGGCUACACACGUGCUACAAUGGCGUAUACAAAGAGAAGCGACCUCGCGAGAGCAAGCGGACCUCAUAAAGUACGUCGUAGUCCGGAUUGGAGUCUGCAACUCGACUCCAUGAAGUCGGAAUCGCUAGUAAUCGUAGAUCAGAAUGCUACGGUGAAUACGUUCCCGGGCCUUGUACACACCGCCCGUCACACCAUGGGAGUGGGUUGCAAAAGAAGUAGGUAGCUUAACCUUCGGGAGGGCGCUUACCACUUUGUGAUUCAUGACUGGGGUGAAGUCGUAACAAGGUAACCGUAGGUGAACCUGCCGAAAGUCAAAAAAA
rnacentral:rRNA from 1 species